GCGAAAAGAAAAAAAUCAAUCAAAAAAUCGAAUCGAACAAUGCAGAAUUUGGGUUGUGUUUUGAAUUUUUCUUGAUUGUUCUCUUCUU
rnacentral:ribozyme from 1 species